rnacentral:rRNA from 1 species
CCUACGGGAGGCAGCAGUGGGGAAUUUUGGACAAUGGACGCAAGUCUGAUCCAGCCAUGCCGCGUGCGGGAAGAAGGCCUUCGGGUUGUAAACCGCUUUUGUCAGGGAAGAAAAGGUUCUGGUUAAUACCUGGGACUCAUGACGGUACCUGAAGAAUAAGCACCGGCUAACUACGUGCCAGCAGCCGCGGUAAUACGUAGGGUGCAAGCGUUAAUCGGAAUUACUGGGCGUAAAGCGUGCGCAGGCGGUUAUGCAAGACAGAUGUGAAAUCCCCGGGCUCAACCUGGGAACUGCAUUUGUGACUGCAUAGCUAGAGUACGGUAGAGGGGGAUGGAAUUCCGCGUGUAGCAGUGAAAUGCGUAGAUAUGCGGAGGAACACCGAUGGCGAAGGCAAUCCCCUGGACCUGUACUGACGCUCAUGCACGAAAGCGUGGGGAGCAAACAGGAUUAAAUACCCUGGUAGUCCACGCCCUAAACGAUGUCAACUGGUUNUUGGGAGGGUUUCUUCUCAGUAACGAAGCUAACGCGUGAAGUUGACCGCCUGGGGAAUCGGCCGCAAGGUUGAAACUUAAAUGAAUUGACGGCUGNGAGNGCGAGACGACGACGAGGGAGGAGG